AACGAACGCUGGCGGCAUGCCUAACACAUGCAAGUCGAACGAGACCUUCGGGUCUAGUGGCGCACGGGUGCGUAACGCGUGGGAAUCUGCCUAAAGGUUCGGAAUAACAGUUAGAAAUGACUGCUAAUACCGGAUGAUGUCUUCGGACCAAAGAUUUAUCGCCUUUAGAUGAGCCCGCGUAGGAUUAGCUUGUUGGUGGGGUAAAGGCCUACCAAGGCGACGAUCCUUAGCUGGUCUGAGAGGAUGAUCAGCCACACUGGGACUGAGACACGGCCCAGACUCCUACGGGAGGCAGCAGUGGGGAAUAUUGGACAAUGGGCGAAAGCCUGAUCCAGCAAUGCCGCGUGAGUGAUGAAGGCCUUAGGGUUGUAAAGCUCUUUUACCCGGGAUGAUAAUGACAGUACCGGGAGAAUAAGCCCCGGCUAACUCCGUGCCAGCAGCCGCAGUAA
rnacentral:rRNA from 1 species